rnacentral:rRNA from 33 species
GUGGGUAGUUUGACUGGGGCGGUCUCCUCCUAAAGAGUAACGGAGGAGCACGAAGGUUGGCUAAUCCUGGUCGGACAUCAGGAGGUUAGUGCAAUGGCAUAAGCCAGCUUGACUGCGAGCGUGACGGCGCGAGCAGGUGCGAAAGCAGGUCAUAGUGAUCCGGUGGUUCUGAAUGGAAGGGCCAUCGCUCAACGGAUAAAAGGUACUCCGGGGAUAACAGGCUGAUACCGCCCAAGAGUUCAUAUCGACGGCGGUGUUUGGCACCUCGAUGUCGGCUCAUCACAUCCUGGGGCUGAAGUAGGUCCCAAGGGUAUGGCUGUUCGCCAUUUAAAGUGGUACGCGAGCUGGGUUUAGAACGUCGUGAGACAGUUCGGUCCCUAUCUGCCGUGGGCGCUGGAGAACUGAGGGGGGCUGCUCCUAGUACGAGAGGACCGGAGUGGACGCAUCACUGGUGUUCGGGUUGUCAUGCCAAUGGCACUGCCCGGUAGCUAAAUGCGGAAGAGAUAAGUGCUGAAAGCAUCUAAGCACGAAACUUGCCCCGAGAUGAGUUCUCCCUGAGACUUAGAGUCUCCUGAAGGAACGUUGAAGACGACGACGUUGAUAGGCCGGGUGUGUAAGCGCAGCGAUGCGUUGAGCUAACCGGUACUAAUGAACCGUGAGGCUUAACCUU